UACGUAGGGUGCGAGCGUUGUCCGGAAUUAUUGGGCGUAAAGAGCUCGUAGGCGGUUUGUUGCGUCUAUCGUGAAAACCUGCGGCUUAACUGUGGGCUUGCGGUGGAUACGGGCAGACUUGAGUUCGGUAGGGGAGACUGGAAUUCCUGGUGUAGCGGUGAAAUGCGCAGAUAUCAGGAGGAACACCGGUGGCGAAGGCGGGUCUCUGGGCCGACACUGACGCUGAGGAGCGAAAGCGUGGGGAGCGAACAGG
rnacentral:rRNA from 1 species